rnacentral:rRNA from 1 species
CUCAGGACGAACGCUGGCGGCGUGCCUAAUACAUGCAAGUCGAGCGCGGGAAGCAAGKUGACCCCUUCGGGGUGACGCUUGUGGAACGAGCGGCGGACGGGUGAGUAACACGUGGGCAACCUGCCUGUAAGAUUGGGAUAACUCGCGGAAACGUGAGCUAAUACCGAAUAAUACUUUUUGUCUCCUGGCAAGAAGAUGAAAGGCGGCUUUUAGCUGUCACUUACAGAUGGGCCCGCGGCGCAUUAGCUAGUUGGUGAGGUAACGGCUCACCAAGGCGACGAUGCGUAGCCGACCUGAGAGGGUGAUCGGCCACACUGGGACUGAGACACGGCCCAGACUCCUACGGGAGGCAGCAGUAGGGAAUCUUCCGCAAUGGACGAAAGUCUGACGGAGCAACGCCGCGUGAGUGAUGAAGGUUUUCGGAUCGUAAAACUCUGUUGUCAGGGAAGAACAAGUGCGAGAGUAACUGCUCGCACCUGACGUACUGAC